rnacentral:rRNA from 1 species
AAAUCAAACAUCCCCCCCCCCCAAAAAACAAACCAUUUGACAAACCAAGUAGAUGCGAUCGAACAGUAUUCUUACCCACAGUACCGCAAGGGAAAUCUAUUAAGCAAAAAAUAGCAAAGAUUAAACCUUGUACCUUUUGCAUCAUGAUUUAGCAAGAACACAAGACAAAAAGAACUAUAGUCUAACAACCCGAAACCAGAUGAGCUACUUUCAAGCAGCCUAAAGGGCAAACCCGUCUCUGUAGCAAAAGAGUGGGAAGACUUCAAAGUAGCGGUGAAACGCUUAACGAAUCUGGAGAUAGCUGGCUACCCAGAAAAGAAUAUCAGUUCUACUUUAGACCAUAUCAACACACAAUAGUAAUCUAAAGACAUUCAAUAAGGGUACAGCCCUAUUGAAACAGGAGACAACCUGAGUUUGAGAGGAAAAUCACCAAUCUGACCAGUAGGCCUUAAAGCAGCCAUCUAAAAAAAUAUCGUUAAAGAAUUACUUUAAAAAUACACGCACCAACUAACUCCAAAAUAACUAAAGGUAAGCCUAUAAACAUAGACACUAUUAUGCUAAAACUAAUAAUAAGACAACCUCUCUCCAACGCACCCCUCCGCUAGAAACAGAAAACCUACUAGCAAUUAACAGACCACAAAAGGCAAUUAACAACCCAAUACACACCUUAACACACACUGUGGACCCGACACAGGAGCGUCAAAAAGAAAGAUUAAUCAUUACAAAAGGAACUCGGCAAACAUAGACUUCAACUGUUUAACAAAAACAUAACCUUUAGCCAAACAAAUAUUAAAGGCAACGCCUGCCCAGUGAACAUUAAACGGCCGCGGUACCCUAACCGUGCAAAGGUAGCGUAAUCAUUUGUCUAUUAAUUGUAGACCCGUAUGAAAGGCAAAAUGAGAGUCUAACUGUCUCUUGUAAUAGAUCAAUUAAACUGAUCUCCUAGUACAAAAGCUAGGAUACUAACAUAAGACCAGAAGACCCUGUGAAGCUUUAACUAACCCAUUAAACCAAAUAAUGACUACUUUCGGUUGGGGCGACCUUGGAAAAAAAGAAAACUUCCAAACAACAUGAUUAUACUCAUACCCAUUAGGCCAACAAGCCACUAUAAGACCCAGUAUAGCUGACAAAUGAACCAAGUUACUCCAGGGAUAACAGCGCUAUCUUCUUCAAGAGUCCAUAUCAAAAAGAAGGUUUACGACCUCGAUGUUGGAUCAGGACAUCCUGGUGGUGCAGCCGCUACCAAGGGUUCGUUUGUUCAACGACUAAC